UGACUGACGUGUUUCGGCUUCAUCAGGGUCAUCAGAAAUGUAUUAAAAACAACACUUAAAUACCCUAUCUAAGUGUUGUUUUAAUACAUUUCUGAUGAAGGUCAAAAGCCGAAGCAUGUCAGUCA